rnacentral:rRNA from 1 species
UUUGAGUGUCAAUUGUAAUCUCACUUCUCGACAUUUGUUUGUUGUGGAAUGUGGACUUUGGAUGUUGCCGUGUCAUUACGGCUCGUCUUAAAUGCCUGAGUGUACCUUGCUUUUGCAGUGUAUCCGGUGUAAUAAACAUUUCACCAGAGCCAGGUCGCAAGACCGCAUUGUCUAGUAAGCUCUAUGCUUUCAAACCGUCUUCGGACAAACUUCUGACAAUUUGACCUCAAAUCGGGUGGGACUACCCGCUGAACUUAAGCAUAUCAAUAAGCGGAGGAAAAGAAACUAACAAGGAUUCCCCUAGUAACGGCGAGUGAAGAGGGAAAAGCUCAAAUUUUGAAUCUGGUGUCUUUGACUCCCGAGUUGUAAUCUAGAGAAGUGUUUUCCGUGUCGGACCGUGUACAAGUCUCCUGGAACGGGGCGUCAUAGAGGGUGAGAAUCCCGUAUAUGCCACGGACUACCGAUGCUCUGUGAUACACUCUCAACGAGUCGAGUUGUUUGGGAAUGCAGCUCAAAAUGGGUGGUAAAUUCCAUCUAAAGCUAAAUAUUGGCGAGAGACCGAUAGCGAACAAGUACCGUGAGGGAAAGAUGAAAAGCACUUUGGAAAGAGAGUGAAACAGUACGUGAAAUUGUUGAAAGGGAAGCGUUUGAAGUCAGUCACGUUUGUUGGGGUUCAGCCUGGCUUUUGCCUGGUGUAUUUCCUUUCCAACGGGUCAGCAUCAGUUUCGACCGAGGGAAAAAGACAUUGGGAAUGUGGCUGUCUUCGGGCAGUGUUAUAGCCUGGUGUUGUAUGUCUCGGUUGGGACUGAGGAACGCAGCGCGCCAUAAAUGGCCGGGGGUCGCUCCUCUCGAC